GACGAACGCUGGCGGCGUGCUUAACACAUGCAAGUCGAGCGGAAAGGCCCUUCGGGGUACUCGAGCGGCGAACGGGUGAGUAACACGUGAGUAACCUGCCCCAGACUUUGGGAUAACCCUCGGAAACGGGGGCUAAUACCGGAUACGACACAGCUUCGCAUGGGGUCUGUGUGGAAAGUUUUUCGGUUUGGGAUGGGCUCGCGGCCUAUCAGCUUGUUGGUGGGGUGAUGGCCUACCAAGGCGACGACGGGUAGCCGGCCUGGGAGGGCGACCGGCCCCCGGGGGACUGAGACACGGCCCACCCACCGACGGGAGGAAGCGGUGGGGAAUAUUGAAAAAGGGGGGGGGGCCUGAGGCGGCGACCCCGGGGGGGGGAGGAAGGCCUUGGGGUUGUAACCUUUUUUCAGCGGGGAGGAAGGGGAAGGGAGGGAACCUGAAGAAGAAGCGCCGGCCAACUACG
rnacentral:rRNA from 1 species